UACGUAGGGUGCAAGCGUUGUCCGGAAUUAUUGGGCGUAAAGGGCUCGUAGGCGGUUCGUCGCGUCGGGAGUGAAAACUCGGAGCUCAACUCCGAGCCUGCUUCCGAUACGGGCAGACUAGAGGUAGGCAGGGGAGAGCGGAACUCCUGGUGUAGCGGUGGAAUGCGCAGAUAUCAGGAAGAACACCGGUGGCGAAGGCGGCUCUCUGGGACGGUACUGACGCUGAGACGCGAAAGCGUGGGGAGCGAACAGG
rnacentral:rRNA from 1 species